GAUGAACGCUGGCGGCGUGCCUAAUACAUGCAAGUCGAGCGAACGGACGAGAAGCUUGCUUCUCUGAUGUUAGCGGCGGACGGGUGAGUAACACGUGGAUAACCUACCUAUAAGACUGGGAUAACUUCGGGAAACCGGAGCUAAUACCGGAUAAUAUUUUGAACCGCAUGGUUCAAAAGUGAAAGACGGUCUUGCUGUCACUUAUAGAUGGAUCCGCGCUGCAUUAGCUAGUUGGUAAGGUAACGGCUUACCAAGGCAACGAUGCAUAGCCGACCUGAGAGGGUGAUCGGCCACACUGGAACUGAGACACGGUCCAGACUCCUACGGGAGGCAGCAGUAGGGAAUCUUCCGCAAUGGGCGAAAGCCUGACGGAGCAACGCCGCGUGAGUGAUGAAGGUCUUCGGAUCGUAAAACUCUGAUAUUAGGGAAGAGCAUAUGUGUAAGUAACUGUGCACAUCUUGACGGUACCUAAUCAGAAAGCCACGGCUAACUACGUG
rnacentral:rRNA from 1 species